CAGAGAACUUCAUGGCAGGAAAUCCAGUGUUGAUGCCUUAGCCUUCUGAAAGGAGAGAAUGAUUGGGAAAUUCUGGAAUAUCAGGUUUUUCUCUGUGUCUUGCAUUUCCCUCAACUCACGGAAAUGAUCAGAAAGUGGCACAGCAGUGGCUUACCUUCUGGAAUGGGGAGAUUUGUGUCUUCUUGCCCAGAAUCUCACACCCUGGGUGGAGGAAGAGAAGAAAACCCUUCCCAUCUGCACUGAGAGCAUGGGAGCCAAGUUUCUGCCUGGAACGAUCUGAGGGGCUGAUGUACAGUUAUCCAGAAAUACAGCAUUUCAUCAUUUACUUCAAAGGACUACCACGGAAAGAGAGCAAAAAUUUUCCAUCCUUAAUUCAUAGUGGCAGUGAUCCACAGUUUCAGUUCAUGUUCCAGUUUGGAAACUCU
ensembl:lncRNA